rnacentral:rRNA from 1 species
AACGCGAAGAACCUUACCUGGGUUCGAAAUGCAGGUGUAAACCUCAGAGAUGAGGUCCCCUCUUCGGAGGCACCUGUAUAGGUGCUGCAUGGCUGUCGUCAGCUCGUGUCGUGAGAUGUUGGGUUAAGUCCCGCAACGAGCGCAACCCUUGUCCAUAGUUGCUAACGCGUAGUGGCGAGAACUCUAUGGAGACUGCCGGUGAUAAACCGGAGGAAGGUGGGGAUGACGUCAAGUCCUCAUGGCCUUUAUGUCCAGGGCUACACACGUGCUACAAUGCCCAGUACAGAACGAUCCGAGACCGCGAGGUGGAGGAAAUCUAUCGAAAACUGGGCCCAGUUCGGAUUGGAGUCUGCAACUCGACUCCAUGAAGCCGGAAUCGCUAGUAAUGGCGCAUCAGCUACGGCGCCGUGAAUACGUUCCCGGGCCUUGUACACACCGCACUACUA